rnacentral:rRNA from 1 species
UUUACCUACGGGGCGCAGCAGUGAGGAAUAUUGGUCAAUGGUCGGGAGACUGAACCAGCCAAGCCGCGUGAGGGAGGAAGGUACAGAGUAUCGUAAACCUCUUUUGUCAGGGAACAAAGGCGGGGACGUGUCCCCGGAUGAGUGUACCUGAAGAAAAAGCAUCGGCUAACUCCGUACCAGCAGCCGCGGUAAUACGUAGGUGGCAAGCGUUGUCCGGAAUUACUGGGGGUAAAGGGAGCGCAGGCGGGAAGCCAAGUCAGCUGUGAAAA